rnacentral:rRNA from 1 species
AACGAACGCUGGCGGCAUGCCUAACACAUGCAAGUCGAACGAGACCUUCGGGUCUAGUGGCGCACGGGUGCGUAGCGCGUGGGAACCUGCCUUUAGGUUCGGAAUAACUCAGAGAAAUUUGAGCUAAUACCGGAUGAUGUCUUCGGACCAAAGAUUUAUCGCCUUUAGAUGGGCCCGCGUUGGAUUAGCUAGUUGGUGGGGUAAAGGCCUACCAAGGCGACGAUCCAUAGCUGGUCUGAGAGGAUGAUCAGCCACACUGGGAUUGAGACACGGCCCAGACUCCUACGGGAGGCAGCAGUGGGGAAUAUUGGACAAUGGGCGAAAGCCUGAUCCAGCAAUGCCGCGCGAGUGAUGAAGGCCUUAGGGUUGUAAAGCUCUUUUACCCGAGAUGAUAAUGACAGUAUCGGGAGAAUAAGCUCCGGCUAACUCCGUG